rnacentral:misc_RNA from 1 species
GAUGAAGAACGUAGCGAAAUGCGAUAAGUAGUGUGAAUUGCAGAAUUCAGUGAAUCAUCGAAUCUUUGAACGCACAUUGGGCCCCUUGGUAUCCCGAGGGGCAUGCCUGUUCGAGCGUCAUUUCACCACUCAAGCCUGGCUUGGUGUUGGGCGACGUCCCCUUUAGGGACGCGCCUCGAAACGCUCGGCGGCGUGGCACCGGCUUUAAGCGUAGCAGAAUCUUUCGCUUUGGAAGUCGGGGCCCCGCCUGCCGGAAUACCUACUCGUAAGGUUGACCUCGGAUCAGGCAGGGAUACCCGCUGAACUUAAGCAUAUCAAUAAGCGGAGGA